UACGGAGGGGGCUAGCGUUGUUCGGAAUUACUGGGCGUAAAGCGCGCGUAGGCGGCCCUGCAAGUCCGGUGUGAAAGCCCGCGGCUCAACCUCGGAACUGCCUUCGAUACUGCGGGUCUCGAGUCCGGGAGAGGUGAGUGGAAUUCCUAGUGUAGAGGUGAAAUUCGUAGAUAUUAGGAAGAACACCAGUGGCGAAGGCGGCUCACUGGACCGGUACUGACGCUGAGGCGCGAAAGCGAGGGGAGCAAACAGG
rnacentral:rRNA from 1 species